UAUAUAUAAUUAUUGAUGAUUAAUAAGAGAGCAUUUUCUCUCUCCUCCUUCUUUCAACCCAACUGAUCGAGCGUGGUCUCUCCUCUCUCCUCCCAACUCAACUGUCGAGCUCUGAAGUCUCUUCCGCCCCUCCCCUUUCCCCGCGAUAAUAAUUAUUACUAAAUUAUUCUAUCAUUUAGUGAGCUUUUACUUUGAUGUCUUAUUAUUCGAAAAGCUAAAAUUAACUAUUCUGUGAUUUCUAAAUAUAUAUGGUAUCAUUUUGUGGUCUUAUUUUGCUAUACUAUUGGAGGACAGAUUUUUCGAUAAAGUAAAAAUAAAAUUAUAAAAUAGUUAAGUAUAAUUUUUUGAAUAAUAAAGUUAUAAAGUGAAAAAUAUACAUGCUAAACUAUAAGAGGUUAAAGAUUAAAUUUUAUUCAAUUUUCUUUUUAUAAUUUAGAGUGGAUUUUCA
rnacentral:lncRNA from 1 species